rnacentral:rRNA from 1 species
UACGUAGGAGACGAGCGUUGUCCGGAGUUACUGGGCGUAAAGGGUGCGCAGGUGGCGGCGCGCGUGGGGGGUGAAAUCGCCCGGCUUAACUGGGCGGGGGCCUUCCAGACGGCGUGGCUUGAGCAGCGGAGGGGGACGUGGAAUUCCGGGUGGAGUGGUGAAAUGCGUAGAGAUCCGGAAGAACACCAAAGGCGAAGGCACCAUCCUGGGGAGUCACUGACGCUCGGGUGCGAAAGCCAGGGGAGCGAACGGG